GGAUUGGUGUUUAACGGUUAGCACGUCGGUCUCCAAAACCGAAAGUAAGGGUUCGAAUCCUUUAUCCUAUG
rnacentral:tRNA from 1 species